rnacentral:rRNA from 1 species
GAUUUACUUAAGCUGGACUGUCGGGGGCUUGGGAACCCCGAGGCAGUUCGUGAGCUUCGCAAUGUGGUGAAGCAAGAAGGUCCCGCCCUUCUCUUUGUGAUGGAAACGAAGAUUUGGGCUGAUAGAGUAGAGAAUCUGAAGUUCUCUUUGGGUUUCUCUGGUUGUUUCGCAGUGGACGGUGUAGGGCUGAGCGGAGGCCUUGGAUUAUUCUGGUCAAAGGACGCGUCCGUUGAGCUUAAGAAUUACAGUACCGGCCACAUAGAUUGUGUGGUGCGGAGAGUUGAAAAUCCAUCUGAUAUAUGGCGCUUCACAGGGUUCUUGGCAUGCCAAGAGUGGAGAACCGCCACCAUAGUUGGCGGUUUCUUCGUACGCUAUAUUCACUUGCACACGAUGCAUGGAUUUGCAUGGGGGACUUCAAUGAGACAUUGUACGCAGAUGAACACUUCAGUCGUUUGGCUUGCCCUGAAUGGCAAAUGA